UUUCCCCUACAAAUCCCAUCCCUCGUAAAAUAUUAAGGAAAGCUUGAUUAUGACAUUUAAAAAUUGAUUGUACCGGACACUAGAAAUAGAAUACACCUCGGAACCAAACAAAAUCUUGUUCAGUUAUAGUUAUCUGAAAGCAAUUGAGCUUCACGAAGAAAUGGCUCGCCACUCGGUCAAGAAUAUCAUCCUUAGUGCUGGACUUCGCCGACUUUGCAGAGGGGAUGCUGUUGCAAUAACUGAUACACUGGAGAAAUAUCAGGUCUAUUGGUGUUGUAUCGUUUGAAGGUUGCUUGGCAUUCAUUUGCUUUUACAGGACCUAGAUCCCACUUUUCCCAGAACAAGGGAGUACAGAUUUUUAGCUGAUUUGGCUACUGCAGUUGACGAGGAAGAUGGUGCAAAGUUCGCUGAUGUUGUCGAGGAGUUUGAUAGCUUGACUCCUCUGGUAAAUGGUCUUUUUCCACUUAAUCUUGUUCUAUUGGUCAGCACUAGUCAUUCGAGUGGGAAGUGAGAUUGGUGCAGUAACUCUAGAUGUUUUUCACUCUCAUCUCCAACUUACUACCUCAACAGAAACUUCAAGCCACUACUCUAGCUCUUUUUUACCUGACGGUCUUCUCCUGCUGCUAUUGAAACCAUCUUCCAUAUAACUUUCUGUCUGACAAGCACUUACUUAAAGUCGUCCAGUACAUUUCUGUGGAGUGCAUGGAAGACCACGCUUCCGUUAAAAGUGACCUGGAUUAGUCAAACUCUAAUGGCUUCAUCUCUAUCAAAAGUUUGCUAGAUGGUUCUUGGACUGUGCAGCAACUAGCUCUUUGUUUUUUUGCUACUACAAGAUAUGAUACCAUGACAAUAAAGUAGACAAGUGGAUCACUCCAAGCAUUUGAGAGGUUCUUGUUGAAAGGAAAAAAACGAAAGAAAUCCAGAGGCCCUGUUGCUCGGCUUCUAAUGUUCCUAAUUUUCACCAGGAAAAUUGUGUUAUUGGUA